CAGAUAUCCCAGGUGAUGAAAACAGAAGAGCAAAGACAGUAUGAACUAAGCCCUAAGAUGGAGCCAACGGAACAUGAUGAAGCCAUACUUCAGGGUUUGGAAUUCAAUGUCUCUAGGUUCCAUUAUGUGAACGAGGUAAUGCAGGAAAGGACUGCCCAAGCUUCAGAUUCAUUACGAAAAUCUAUUCUCGAAAAGCAUGUGGAGGUAUUAAAAACCUAAUAAACUAUG